rnacentral:rRNA from 1 species
GGAACGCUAAUACCGCAUACGUCCUACGGGAGAAAGCAGGGGACCUUCGGGCCUUGCGCUAUCAGAUGAGCCUAGGUCGGAUUAGCUAGUUGGUGAGGUAAUGGCUCACCAAGGCGACGAUCCGUAACUGGUCUGAGAGGAUGAUCAGUCACACUGGAACUGAGACACGGUCCAGACUCCUACGGGAGGCAGCAGUGGGGAAUAUUGGACAAUGGGCGAAAGCCUGAUCCAGCCAUGCCGCGUGUGUGAAGAAGGUCUUCGGAUUGUAAAGCACUUUAAGUUGGGAGGAAGGGUUGUAGAUUAAUACUCUGCGAUUUUGACGUUACCGACAGAAUAAGCACCGGCUAACUCUGUGCCAGCAGCCGCGGUAAUACAGAGGGUGCAAGCGUUAAUCGGAAUUACUGGGCGUAAAGCGCGCGUAGGUG